CGGCGUGCUGAAACGAAAAAGAUCAUAUUGGCUAUAGUGAAACAGGACUCGUCAAAGGACUUUCGCCGCUUAAGCUACUCGUUUGGCUUCGACCAGAGCUCUCAACGAAUACCCUGGUUAGCCGAUUAAGUGGCUCGAGGCUUCUGUAACUAGGAUUCGAGCACGUUAGCAUGCAGAAUCCGAACUGGCCAGGGGAAAUUGAAUUAAUCUCGAGUAUCGAACGAGAGUUCGAUGCAACGAGUAGGUGAAACGCGAUGGACCCUCGAGACGCCGUAUCCUCUCCUCCUUUCCCUUCCUCUUUCCAUCUAGCUCUCCACCAAUUACGCGAGACACAAAAUUAUGGGUAAUUGGCCCUUCACCUUCCUCCACGUCCUUCAGAAAUGCUCGGCUGGAACGUGCUGGAUCUCUUUGUCUUACCCGAUGGACCAUCGUACGAGACGCGAGAACAGGUUUACAGGCCAGUUGUUCGGAAUUUCAUAGAGAGCUAUGAUAGCCUAGAAGGGUAGCAAGAGUAUUCGACGCGUUGUAACUUUUCUAUCUAGCUGCGCGUACUUAUUAUAGAUUGUUAAACGUCCAUUCUCGAGAUAUUAAAAGGCAGAACGUUUAAUCGAAUUCCACGGCUACUCUCCCUAAUUCCAAAUUAAUUCCCGUGAAAUGAAAUUGAGACCUUGUCCGGGGAAGAGAGACGGCGAUGCGUGUCGACGGUGCAUGAAAACGAGCGUUUCGCGUGCGCAAUAGCUGUCCGGUACCUAUGACGCGGAUCCCGUGGAAUCUCGUUUCGCUUCAAGCGAGACCGUGCUGGAUUUUCGCGAAAAACGAACGAGAGGAACACCACCUAACGCGAUCAUCGCAAUAGCAAUGCACCCUCUGUUCUCGUUCAAUCAACGUUCCAACGAGAAUCCAACGGCUGCAGCGAUAAAUCCGAAUAGAAACGCCCCCUUUUCAACGAAAUCUAAGAAAAUGAACGGGAAACCGGAGGAGAUUUCUCCAAACAACGAAUCUACGAUUUCUGAAGGGAAAGAGUGUACUCGAAGCUCGAAGCGAGGUAGAUGAAUCUAAGACUGGCUGGAGUUUGAAGAAAGAAGAACGUGGUUUGCGUUAAUUUCCUCGGAUUGCCUUUUCGUUUGCACAAACGUUGCUGCGGUGCAGAGAAGUAAAGGGAAGGCCGAGUCUUUAUGCAAAUUUAAAAUAAAGCUCGCAAUCUGACGGUGGCUCCCGAACGAAGAAUAUCGUCGUCCGUCCUGGUACAGAACAUUCCCCUCCCUUCCAAUCCCCCCUCUCCAGUCUACCGUCCAUGUAUAUUUCGUCUGGGCUCCUUAAUUGCAGCCUAUUCUGCGUGCACCGGCUCGCCACGGCCACUUAACUUCCCCGCGAGACACUCGACGAUUAUAUUUGCACCCAGACACGUGCCCCCGCACCACCUUCCCGCUCUCGUCUCGCUCGCGCACACGGUAUCCCUGAAAUUCGCGCGCGUGUUUUGUCUCCACGCGUGCAUCCCUCACGCGCGCACUACUUGAAAAGCGAACCGUCGUUGCACGCGCUGGAACGCUAAUCGACUGCCUUCCCUGGGUAAUUAUAGAGCGCCUAACCGAGGACAAUCGAUUUCUUCGCGCGAUCUCGGCACUGCGCGGUUCCUUCUCGCGUGCUUUUACUCGCUUUGCGAUCCAGUCGGUUAGCCGAUUUGGUGGUGCUGCAACUGGUGUCGCGUGAAACGGUUGUUAAAUUCUUGAAUUUUUGAAAUUUCCAAUCUUUGAAUUUCUGAAAUCGAAUUUUCGAUUCGAUGAUUUUCGAUGAAUCGAAAUUUCGAGAUUUCGAAUUUUCAAGUUUGCGAUUUCUUGAAUUUUUCAAUUAUAUUCUUCAGCGCCUUUGAUGGAACAAUUUAAAUAUACAUUCGUUUCGUGUUUGCGCCGACCUGGUUCUCCAUGCACUUGAUCAACGCUUCGUUAGGUUCGAAGUUGCAACGUCCACGCUCGAGAAAGCUACUUUUCUUUGAAGAGGAGCGAAUAAUGGGGAAAGUUGAUAUCUUACAGACGCCAAAUAGUAUCCGAUGUUUCGCGGAUCAUCACUUUCACUGUCUGAACUGUUGAAUAGGCGCGACGUCUCGUUGUUUGCAUAUGCCACAAUGGAGUUUAAGUCGCGUCGUUCCGUUACUAAACGUGCUCGAUUCAUUGCUCGUUUCACUUCCAGAAUCAAUAUCGAUACUUCUUUUCAUCGGUCUUCCAGACACAUAACUCUUAAAGAAUACUAAAUAUUACCAAGGCUUGUGCUAACAAUUUACGAGGGCUUAAAUGUAUACCGCUUUAAUACUCCAUAAAGUAUUUCUCCUCUUAUAAUGGACGAUAUCGAGGGGCAAGGUUACAAAGACAUUCGCGUUCAAAGUGGACGUUGGCAAGGAUAUCGGGCGUAUCGGAGGUAAUCGAUAUUUGAGGCACUCGAAAUGGCUGUCAAGCAACUUGGAGUGUCGUAAGGAGUAGCAAAAGGAGGCCACGUACACGGAAGAAAAAUAAGUGUUCGUUGGUAAUAGUCUCCAUUGAAGAGCUCGCUUUCUCUUUUAUUCUUUUCGACCGGUGACUGGUGGAAAGAACUCUGGACGAGUAACGAAGCACGCGCCCGAUCACAAGGGAUCGAUUGUCGAGACGUUGCGAAUGCACACGUCUCGAAUUGACUCGUACAAAUAACCGAGCUGUGCUCGUUCGACCAGCAAACGUUUCGAUCGACAUAUUUCACGUUGGUGCACUAUUAACGAUCUAAGACGCCAUCGAAUCGAACCUAUCUAUCUCUGUCCGUUCAAUUCUUCGGUUUUCUUGUUUAUUUCUCGAGCAAAGAAACUCGACGCAGUCAAGCAACCUCUUCUUUCGUGUCUCUCUGCUUGCGAUCAAGCCGAUACGCGUACGCUGUGUCGCCACAUAUUUACGCACGCCUCGUUGAUCAAUUCCAACGCCAUUGGGUCUCGUGGUCGCGCGAUCUACGCAAAUUUGAAAGUCGGUGGAAAUCGUGACCGCGAUGCGCCAACAGUCGAUCGAUCGUGACCGCGAUUUUUCAGAGAAGAAAGAUGACUAAAUGGAGAAAAAAUGUACGGUAGUUCUAUACUAACGAGCUGAAAUUUGUCUUGUUAAUUGAUCAUCGCUGUUUCCACCAGUUACCGACUUGUGGAUUGAAUUGUUGAACUCCUUUCCAAAUGAAACUUCAACUGCACAUAUCCAAGUUCGUAUAUUUAAUUAUCAUGAUUGAUAAUUGACUAAAUGGCAAAAUUUAAUGGUAUUAUGGCGGCACUCGAGCACGGAACUUUCCAACGGCUUCGCGACACAAAGCGCUAUAUCUUCAAAGCGUAAAGCCGACGUGCCUAAUGUGCCAUCGAUAUCCCUACGGUUCUUCCGCCGAAUGUUCGGAAAAAUGCAUGCGCGGCAACCGCCGGUACAUCUAAUAAACGCGUGUGUAGUAGGGAUAUCGAAGGGCAACUAAGGAAAGAAUCCGUUUGGUUUCGAACAGAAGAGUCAUUCUGCCUUAAGCCGCGAAGUGCGAAAGGUUCAGCAUCAUAGCGAGGCAAACACAAGCCGAGAUACGCGAUUGUAAACUCUCAAUGGUUAAUCAUAAGUGUGAAUCAUAUAUUGUUGACCUGUUGAUUGUUAAUAGUAAUAAACUUUUUGUUGAA